rnacentral:rRNA from 1 species
AGCGAACGCUGGCGGCAGGCUUAACACAUGCAAGUCGAGCGGACCUUUCGGGGUCAGCGGCGGACGGGUGAGUAACGCGUGGGAACGUGCCUUCCGGUUCGGAAUAACCCUGGGAAACUAGGGCUAAUACCGGAUACGCCCUUAUGGGGAAAGGUUUACUGCCGGAAGAUCGGCCCGCGUCUGAUUAGCUAGUUGGUGGGGUAACGGCCUACCAAGGCGACGAUCAGUAGCUGGUCUGAGAGGAUGAUCAGCCACACUGGGACUGAGACACGGCCCAGACUCCUACGGGAGGCAGCAGUGGGGAAUAUUGGACAAUGGGCGCAAGCCUGAUCCAGCCAUGCCGCGUGAGUUAUGAAGGCCUUAGGGUUGUAAAGCUCUUUUAUCCGGGACGAUAAUGACGGUACCGGAGGAAUAAGCCCCGGCUAACUUCGUG